GUAUUAUUUAUAUGCUAUGUUUGUUAGGAAAUUAGCUGAGUUUGUAGUAGAUAAUUGGUUAGACAAGAAUUGUACAUAAGCUUAGUAGAUGAUGUAAUUGUAGUUAGUUACUUAGUUUUAAUUGAGCCAUUACUAUUUCAGAAAGCUCUUUUUCUCUUUUCACUUUCUCUCACCCUUUCUGUUACGUUCUUCACCAUCUCUUACUUGAUUCAUUGUUAAGCUCACCAAAUGAAUUCGGAACACAGGUUUUUCUAAUGGUGUGGUGAGCGUGGAGUCAUGGUGUAGAGAUCGAGCUUCAUUCGCUAGGUUUUUCAUUUCUCGCUCAAUGAAUCGACGUAAUAUUUUAUUCUUGCUAAAAUUGAUGGCAAAUCAAGUGGAGCGAGUUCAAAUGCAAUAGUUGAAGAAUUAGAUCUUCAAACAUUGGCUCAAUUGAUAGCUCAAAUCAACGUGAUUCAAGCCUCUGCAUUGAAGGUUCCUGUGAAUCCGAAUCUAGAUCCUUCAAGUGAGUUCUACCAUCAUCCAGGAGAGAGUUCAUGUACUCCUCUAAUUACUAGUUUGUUAGAUCAUCACAACUAUGAUUCAUGGUCUAGAGCAAUAUUGAGAGCUAUUAAAGGAAAGAACAAAAUCAGUUUUAUUGAUGGUUCACUUCUUAAACCAAAGGGAUCCUAACUUUAAUGCAUGGGAUAAGUACCUUUGUGCUUUCUUGGUUGAAUUUGUCAUUGAAUGCUGAAAUUGCUCAAAGUGUCAUGUGGAUUAGUGUUGUAUCUAAUUUGUGGCAAGAUUUGAAGAUUAGGUUUCAUCAAGGAGAUAAAUAUCGAAUUACAGAAUUAGAUGAAGAACUCUUUUCUAUGAAGCAAGGAGAGCUCAACGUCAUCUCUUAUUUUACGAAAUUGAAGGCGGUUUGGGAGGAAAUGGAGAAUUUUCGACCUAUUCCAAAUUGUUAGUGUGCUAUCGAAUGCUCUUGUUUGAGAAUAAUCAGAGACUAUAGGCAUAAUACGUAUGUUGUAAGAUUUUUCAGAAGACUGAAUGAUCAAUAUAGCAUCGUCAAGUCAUAGUCUCAUAGAUAAUGCUUAUGGAUCCCUUGCCUAAUAUUGAAGAUCUGUUUGCUAAAUUAUAACAGCAAGAGAGACAACUACUUAACAUGGAUAUUGUGGACUCCAAAGCACUGUUUAGUGCAUUUGAUCAACGAGAGAACCGACUGAACCGUGCCAAUUUUGCCGAUGGCCAAGCUCAAAGAGGAAGGGGUCGAGGCAGAGGCAAUAUAGGCAGAGGCAAUGGCAGAAGAGCUGUUGAGAAUGAUGAAGACAGCAGUACUGUUAGCUUGUACAAAGAAAAUGCUGAGGGACCAAGUACAAACUUCACUCCUGAGCAAAAGGAGGCACUGCUGGCUCUGUUGCAGCAACAUGAAGCAAAAAUUCAACCAAUUCAUAGUGUGAACUAAGCGGUUACAGAUCAAGGUAAAAGAGCAUGCAUGAUUUCCUCGAAAGGUGGUACUCAAUAGAUUAUCAAUUCAGGGGCUACGACUCAUGUCACAUAUUGCAUCAAUGCAUUUCAAUGCUAUAAAAAUAUAAAAUCAGUAAGAGUUAAACUCCCAAAUAAACAAGUUGCCAUAUCAUACAUCUCGGGAAUAGUCAUUUUUUCUUCAACAUUACAUAUUAUUAAUGUCUUGUACAUACCAGAUUUUCUGUAUAAUCUCAUGUCUGUGUCACAACUUAUUGAUUCUCUAGAUUGUAAAUUUAUUUUUAAUAAACUUGGUUGCAAGAUAUAGGAUCCGACUACUUUGAAGAUAAUUGGAGCAGCUAGUAAGAAUCUCGGAUUAUAUACAAUGGAAUCUAAACAGCUUCCCUACAUACGCACUUUAGGCAUGAAUAAUAUAGCUCUAAAUGUAGACUCUAGUCAUGAUUUAGAUAUAAACUCAUGUAGUAUGCAUAGAACUGUGAUAGGGGAUACCUCAGCCAAGUUAUGACAUUAUAGAUUAGGUCAUGUUCCUUAUGAUAAGCUAGAAAGCAUGCAACAAUUGUACACAGAUUUUCAAGAUUUGAAUAAAGUUCGAGUUAAAGAAACUUGUGAUUCAUGUCAUUAUGCUAAACAACAAUGAUUCCAAACAACACUUCACAUACACAUGCAUAUUUUGAUUUGUUGCAUAUGGAUAUUAGGGGACCGAUUGUUGUUCCCUCAGUUAGUGGCUAUAAGUAUUUUCUCACUAUUGUGGAUGACUAUAGUCAAUUCACUUGGAUUUUUUGCAUGAAAGCAAAGUCAGACUCUAGUGCACUUAUAUAAAACUUCAUACAAUUGGUUUAAACUCAGUUUAAUAAAACAGUUAAGUGCAUUAGAUCCAACAACAGAAAAGAGUUCCAACUAACUCAAUUUUAUACUUCUAAAGGCAUAUUGCAUCAAACUUCAUGCGUAGAAACUCCACAACAAAAUGGAAUUGUAGAAAGGAAGCGCCAACAUCUUUUAGAAGUGACUCAGGCUAUACUCUUUCAUUCCUCAAUUCCAUUGUGUUAUUGGAAUUUUGCAGCAUCCUAUGCAGUCUACAUUAUCAAUAGGCUGCCCACACCCGCUUUACACAACAAAAGUUCAUUUGAAAAAUUGCAUAAUUCUCUACCACAUUUUCAAAACAUUAUAGUCUUUGAUUGUUUGGUCUAUAUUUCCACUUUAAUUGCGCAUCAAAAAAAGCUUGAUAAAUGCGCUAAGAAAGGAGUUUUCCGAGGUUAUAUACCAGGAACAAAAGGUUUUGUUGUUUUGGAUUUACAGAGCAAGCAGUUGAGUGUAUCUAGAAAUGCUAUUUUCUAUGAAAAUAUUUUUCCUUUCUCAAAAGACACUAAUUUUCAGCUUGUUGCACCUUCACAAAUCCUUACUUCAUUUCAUCCUCAUUACAACACUUGCAAAUAUGAUGAGCUGUAUUUUUCUCAUACAUCUACUCUUGGAACGUCACUAAAUUCAUCAUAAUCUCAGGCACAAUCUUCUAGUAUUAUACCAGAAAAUUACUUAUCUCCUUUGAAUCACACCUUUUCUCACAUAAACACUCAGCACACCCUUUCAAAGAUCUAAAAGACUUCGGAGGCGACUGCCACAUUUACGAGAUUACUAUUGUAUGCAAUCUUCUCAUGUUUCUGCUACUUCUAACUCUUCUUUAAGGUAUCCAAUAUCACAUUAUAUCUCAUAUGACAACUUGUCUUAUGCAUAUCAAGAAUUUGCAUUAGUUGUAUCAUCAAUGACUGAACUGACACACUAUGAUGAGGCAAUUGCACAUGCUUGCUAGAGAGAUGCCAUCUCUACCGAAUUGCAUGCCUUGGAUGUGAAUAAGACUUGGAAACUCACUAUUAUACCCGCUGGCAAGAAGGCUAUUGGGUGUAAGUGGGUAUUCAAAAUUAAAUACAACUCGGAUGGGAGUAUUGAGUGACAUAAAUCCAAACUCGUUGCUAAGGGUUAUACCCAGAUUUCAGGAUUUGAUUUCUUUGAUAUAUAGAGACUUGUGGCAAAUAUGGUGACACUGCGUAUUCUUUUGUGUUUGGCUGCAACCUAGCGAUGGUACCUCCACCAAUUGGACGUUUACACCGCCUUUCCUUCACGGUGAGCUUGAUGAGGGUGUUUACAUGUAGCUGCCACCAGGUUUAGAUGUUUCCACUGCUGGUCUGAUCUGUAAAUUGCAAAAGUCACUUUAUGGUCUCAAGCAAGCGAGCAAACAAUGGAAUGCCCGACUCACAGUUGUGCUCAUUCAGCUUGGUUACACUCAAUCCAAGUAUGAUUACUCACUCUUCACUAAGUUCUACAGGGCUGAAGUUACUAUGGUUCUAGUCUACAUUGAUGAUUUGAUUUUGACAAAAAAUUGUAUACGAAAAAUCGAUUCUUUCAAGCAACAACUGGAUGAUGCCUUCAAGAUCAAAGAUAUAGGGGAACUUAAGUACUUCUUAGGUUUUGAAAUUGCUCAAAGCCACAAGGGCAUUGCUGUUAAUCAGAGAAAAUAUGUCUUAGAUCUUAAUGCCAAGUCAGUUACCACUCCCAUGGACUAUUCGAUCAAGCUUGGAAAAGACUCGGGUCUAGCUUAUAAGGAUCUCUCAGCUUAUCACAGACUCAUUGAUAGAUUGGUCUAUCUCACUAGUACUAGACCGAACAUUUUCUUUACCAUUGAAAAACUCAGUCAGUACUUGGAUUAUAUUGCCCAACACUAGCACAUCAUCAAACUGGCAUGAGGAUGUUUAAAUACCUCAAAUUCUCACCUGCCACAGGUUUGUUCUUUUCAGCCACUUUUGAUUUGUCAUUAUUUGGCUACUCGGACGCUGCUUGGGCUUCAUGUCCAGAUAUAUACUCGCCGAUCAAUCUCUAGUUAUUGCUUUUAUCUUGGCACUUCACUCGUCUCCUGGAAGGGCAAGAAACAACCCACCGUUGUUCGUUCUUUUUCGGAGACUGAAUAUCAGGCUCUUACACUAGCAGUUUGUGAAGCUCAAUGGUUUUCCUUCAUUCUCAAGAAUUUUGGUUUUUCACAUUCCAAGCCCUUUCCUUUGUAUUGUGACAGUCGUUCUGCCAUGUACAUUACUGCCAACCCCGUAUUUUACGAGAACAAAACACAUUGAAAUUGAUUGUCAUGUAAUAAGAGAACGGGUUCAAUCUUGCUUGGUGAAA